UCUCAAGUGUCUCCUUAACCAGCAGUGAGA
rnacentral:piRNA from 1 species